CAGUGACUGAACUAUUCUUAUUGUUAUCUGUUUAGAGUUUAAAAUAUGGUACCAGUGAUACCAGACGGGGAGUGUCAUGCCUUCAGCAUUUGCUUUGUGUAGAUCUGAUUACUUUUACUACAGAAAGUUGUAUUAUUGCCCCAUCUGGUGGUCAGUCCCAUCAAUUAAUUUGACCCUCAUAGCCUCUUGUAGCCAGUCUUGCAAUGCAUUCUGGGAUGAAGAAGCUGGGAUCAGCCUUUCUACUUCCCUCAUGGUCCCAGACAGUCAUGCUUUACAUGGGUCCAACUCUCAUAUAGCAUUCGAUGUUUUACCUCAUUAUCACACAUCAUCAUAUCGUAUUGUACAUCAAAUCAACGCAUCAUAUCUGUGAUCCCUUUACUGAAUAAUAAAACACCGUUCUACAAACA